AAAGUGCGAUAAGUGGUAUCAAUUGCAGAAUCACUCAAUUACCGAAUCUUUGAACGCAAAUGGCGCCCGGGAGAAGCCUUACACGGCCAUCCCCGUGCAUGCCGUAUCGCUCAGUGUCGAACAAAAACCCAACUCUACAAAAGAGCCUUGGCUUGUCAGUACCUUUAAACCGUAAAGGCGGCCGAGUGGUUACCCCGAAUUAACGUCAAACCGUCGGUUCAUGGGUAAUUCAAUUUCUUUGUGAAAAGGCCAUCAGCCGCGUUCACGCGCGUGCCGAUGACCUUUUUCAACAAGUGUAAAAACUUGAACAGAACAUCUCUUUUGUUACAGACCUGAGUGCGGCAGGAUCACCCGCCGAACUUAA
rnacentral:misc_RNA from 1 species